rnacentral:rRNA from 1 species
AUUGAACGCUGGCGGCAUGCCUUACACAUGCAAGUCGAACGGUAACGCGGGGCAACCUGGCGACGAGUGGCGAACGGGUGAGUAAUGCAUCGGAACGUGCCCAGAAGUGGGGGAUAGCCCGGCGAAAGCCGGAUUAAUACCGCAUGAGACCUGAGGGUGAAAGCGGGGGAUCGCAAGACCUCGCGCUUUUGGAGCGGCCGAUGUCAGAUUAGCUAGUUGGUGGGGUAAAGGCCUACCAAGGCGACGAUCUGUAGCUGGUCUGAGAGGACGACCAGCCACACUGGGACUGAGACACGGCCCAGACCCCUACGGGAGGCAGCAGUGGGGAAUUUUGGACAAUGGGCGCAAGCCUGAUCCAGCCAUGCCGCGUGCGGGAAGAAGGCCUUCGGGUUGUAAACCGCUUUUGUCAGGGAAGAAACGCUCUGGGCUAAUACCCUGGGGUAAUGACGGUACCUGAAGAAUAAGCACCGGCUAACUACGU